GUUGUGCAAGGAGAUCACAAACUCCAGUAUCACAGAAUAAGGGACUACCUGCAGUGUGUGCUAGAUACUAACCCUGGCAGUAGGUGCAUAGUAACAACACAUGAGGACCCACUUAACCCAGCUCCUACCCCAAGGUUUCACUAUAUGUUUUACUGCUUGUUUGCAUGCAAGGAGGGUUUUCUGAAUGGAUGCAGGCCAUUUAUAGGUCUGGAUGGUUGCUUCAUCAAGCUAAGCACUGGUCAGCAGAUAUUGGCAGCUACAGGGAGGGAUGGCAACAAUAACAUCUUCCCAAUAGCUUUU
rnacentral:rRNA from 1 species